GACAAAUAGAAAAAAAAAUCAAGUUUGAUGAAAAUGUAACAGGCCACAGCAGAUGAUUGCAUUUAUUAUCUUUAGAAAAGCUGAACCACUCCAACCAGCAUUAACGAGCUGAGUCCGACGAUUUUGACUGCGAACAGAUCAUAGAAAUUUAAGUUAUUUACCUACAUCCAAAAGGGCUGCUGCCGGAGAACGUGAUCGGUUCGGUGCUGAUUCCUGCCAGCAGGAAGCCGCAACAAAGGACAUACGUCGCAAAGGACAGUCGAAAGAGAUCGGUAUUGAAGAUGCGUCUUCGCCUAUAAUCUCAUCUUGUUUGAUACCUCGCAGCAGCAGGAAGGAAACAUGCAAUCAUUUAGAAAACGUACCAUGUUAGUUUGUUUCGAUACGAAUCAACAUAAACUAGAUGCCACAGCAGAUCAGCCAGUUUUUCCAGAACAAGAAAAUAAAGUUGAAAUAUUGAUAUAUAAUAUAUGUUUAUGUAUUAAAAUAAUGAUUUUCAACCCUAUGACGGAAGUCGCAUUCCGGAUGGAUUAAAUUAAACGAAAACAAAUUAAAAAGAA